GAAGAUGCCUGGCCGUCAUUCGUAUGUUCUUCAGUCAUAAAGUCGGGAGUAACCUGCAAAAAAAAAUAGGUGAGUCAUCGUCGGAAUCGUCUCUCAGUCUAUGUUGACCUGGGGUGAUGUCACCCGAUGAUAACAAAUCCAACAGAGGAUAUAGGGAGCUUUCACUUGAAUGUGAACGUGAGCGAGGCAAAUUUGGUGGAAAAAUGUCAUCUGAGGACAUGGUAGCUGUAUGUUCGUAUGUUCUCAGUUUCAAGGCAAGAAAGAAGUCGAUUUUACCUUUCCAAGUCAAUACAUAGGCUCAAAUCUCGUGCAACAUCUGCCAGAACACAUAAUGCGCCCAAUCACACAAGUUAUAAAUGUUAUAAAAGUUAUAUACGAAGCUAUCAUACAGCGCAUGAAAUAGGCGUGUACAAAUCUAGGUCACACAAGCAAAUACACUGAAGUCAACAGACACCUUCACAAAACUGAAAGUGCACAACAUCAGUUGUGAAGAAAGUUCUCUAUACGUCACACUAACAAUAUCGCUAAACAUAAAAUCAAGAAACUAUCAGCUUUUCUCGUCAAUCACAAAACAGCUGUGAUCACACUACGGAAGCUCAGAUGACCGGAAGCAAAGACAGAUAGAGAACAGUGGAUCGAAUCCCAGGUUCAAGAAGCAUCAACAAUAAUGACUGAAGCAGCAAUAGCGUUUGUUCACAAAGUGAAGGACGCAUUACAUAAACUGGCUGACGCUCUGGACGCAGACGAUGCACGUUAUGUCAAAAUUGCUGGAAGAUCCUUUGUUGUGAACAUAACAGGAGGAACCAUUGUAACUGCGAGUGUUGGAGGUGUCUUUGGUCUCUCGCUUCUUGGUUUCUCUCUUGCCACAGUGGUUCCCGCCAUAGCUCUAGUUGGAAUGGUUUUGGGAAGUGGCAUUGGCGCCGUUGGUGCGUAUAAAAGGUAUGCAGAAAAUGCAUCAUUCACAUCCCAUGUGAAAGAAGCACAAGCCAUCUUUGACGAGUAUUCACAGUACCUAAAACAACAGAGCCCACUUGGAAGUUGUGACAUCAGAGCAGUUAGGAAUUUAGGCGAAAUGAUUGAUGUGACAUCUCUGGUACUGACCCUCGAAGACGGAAACACGAGGAAAGGGAGUGAUGCUAUGGCCUUCUUAAAGAAAAAUCAACCGUAUUCAAGGGCUACAGUCACAUUUAGCGUAGGAGUGUAUGUCAAGAGGAACAAAACUCAAUACAAUUCGGAUCUCACAAAUACGAUUCGUAAGAGGGCCAAUGAGCUUAUGAACUGUGGGGGGAUUUGGACGACAUACACUUUGGCUGACGAAAAAAACGAAUGCAUUGUUUUUAUCUGCAGUUUAACAUGAUUGUAACUGAUUUGUUUGGCAAAAGUUUGUUGGGACAUCUAUUUUGGGCGCAAACUGUUUCACGUUUAUCAGGUCCCAUCCAAAACGUUACACAAUGAGUUUCUAACCGACUGUUUCAUGUUAAUGUGUCAAUUGGUUUGUAGCUUUGUAGGAUGUUAUACAUUAGGAUUUAAGUGUUCUGUAUUUUGUUAACGUCCUUAUGGAUUUCAGUGAACUUGGUUUCCUUUCAACUAAGACAGCCAAUAAUUCCAAUAAUAUACACAAUGAGACGUGGACGCAUUGGCUUUGCACACACGGAGACGUGAGCCAAGACGUUCUGUGAUGUAUUGUGAUGUAUUGGCCAGAAUACAUGUUUACGCCAUGGC
rnacentral:lncRNA from 1 species